UACGAAGGGGGCUAGCGUUGUUCGGAAUUACUGGGCGUAAAGCGUGCGCAGGCGGUUGUGCAAGACAGAUGUGAAAUCCCCGGGCUUAACCUGGGAAUUGCAUUUGUGACUGUACGGCUAGAGUGUGUCAGAGGGGGGUAGAAUUCCACGUGUAGCAGUGAAAUGCGUAGAGAUGUGGAGGAAUACCGAUGGCGAAGGCAAUCCCCUGGGCCUGCACUGACGCUCAUGCACGAAAGCGUGGGGAGCAAACAGG
rnacentral:rRNA from 1 species